UACGGAGGGUGCAAACGUUGCUCGGAAUCAUUGGGCGUAAAGCGCACGUAGGCGGUCGGCUAUGUCGGAUGUGAAAGCCUCGGGCUUAACCCGAGAAGGGCAUCCGAAACUGGCCGGCUUGAGUAUGGAAGAGGGUCUCGGAAUUCCCGGUGUAGAGGUGAAAUUCGUAGAUAUCGGGAGGAACACCAGUGGCGAAGGCGGAGACCUGGGCCAAUACUGACGCUGAGGUGCGAAAGCGUGGGGAGCAAACAGG
rnacentral:rRNA from 1 species